AGACCGGCGCACGGGUGCGUAACGCGUAUGCAAUCUACCUUUUACAGAGGGAUAGCCCAGAGAAAUUUGGAUUAAUACCUCAUAGUAUAUAGCCCUGGCAUCAGGAUUAUAUUAAAGUCACAACGGUAAAAGAUGAGCAUGCGUCCCAUUAGCUAGUUGGUAAGGUAACGGCUUACCAAGGCUACGAUGGGUAGGGGUCCUGAGAGGGAGAUCCCCCACACUGGUACUGAGACACGGACCAGACUCCUACGGGAGGCAGCAGUGAGGAAUAUUGGACAAUGGGCGCAAGCCUGAUCCAGCCAUGCCGCGUGCAGGAUGACGGUCCUAUGGAUUGUAAACUGCUUUUAUACGAGAAGAAACACUCCUUCGUGAAGGAGCUUGACGGUAUCGUAAGAAUAAGGAUCGGCUAACUCCGUGCCAGCAGCCGCGGUAAUACGGAGGAUCCAAGCGUUAUCCGGAAUCAUUGGGUUUAAAGGGUCCGUAGGCGGUUUAAUAAGUCAGUGGUGAAAGCCCAUCGCUCAACGGUGGAACGGCCAUUGAUACUGUUAGACUUGAAUUAUUAGGAAGUAACUAGAAUAUGUAGUGUAGCGGUGAAAUGCUUAGAGAUUACAUGGAAUACCAAUUGCGAAGGCAGGUUACUACUAAUUGAUUGACGCUGAUGGACGAAAGCGUGGGUAGCGAACAGGAUUAGAUACCCUGGUAGUCCACGCCGUAAACGAUGGAUACUAGCUGUUGGAAGCAAUUUCAGUGGCUAAGCGAAAGUGAUAAGUAUCCCACCUGGGGAGUACGUUCGCAAGAAUGAAACUCAAAGGAAUUGACCGGGGCCGCACAAGCGGUGGAGCAUGU
rnacentral:rRNA from 1 species